rnacentral:rRNA from 1 species
GACGUAGGGCGCGAGCGUUGUCCGGAUUUAUUGGGCGUAAAGAGCUCGUAGGCGGCUUGUCGCGUCGAAUGUGAAAACUCGGGGCUCAACUCCGAGCUUGCAUUCGAUACGGGCAGGCUAGAGUUCGGUAGGGGAGACUGGAAUUCCUGGUGUAGCGGUGAAAUGCGCAGAUAUCAGGAGGAACACCGGUGGCGAAGGCGGGUCUCUGGGCUGCAACUGACGCUGAGGCACGAAAGCGUGGGGAGCAAACAGG